rnacentral:rRNA from 1 species
GAUGAACGCUGGCGGCGUGCCUAAUACAUGCAAGUCGAGCGAAUGGAUUAAGAGCUUGCUCUUAUGAAGUUAGCGGCGGACGGGUGAGUAACACGUGGGUAACCUGCCCAUAAGACUGGGAUAACUGCGGGAAACCGGGGCUAAUACCGGCUAACAUUUUGAACAGUAUGGUUCGAAAUCGAAAGGCGGCUUCGGCUGUCACUUCAGGAUGGACGUGAGUCGCAUUAGCUAGUUGGUGAGGUAACGGCUCUCCAAGGCAAAUAUGCGGAGCCGAGCUGAGAGAUGGAUCGGCCACACUGGGACUGAGACACGGCCCAGACUCCUACGGGAGGCAGCAGUAGGGGAUCUUCCGCAAUGGACGAAAGUCUGACGGAGCAACGGCGCGUGAGUGAUGAAGGCUUUCGGGUCGUAAAACUCUGUUGUUAGGGAAGAACAAGUGCUAGUUGAAUAAGCCGGCACCUUGACGGUACCUAACCAGAAAGCCACGGCUAACUACGUGCCAGCCGCCGCCGUAA